GAUGAACGCUAGCUACAGGCUUAACACAUGCAAGUCGAGGGGCAGCAUGAACUUAGCUUGCUAAGUUUGAUGGCGACCGGCGCACGGGUGAGUAACACGUAUCCAACCUGCCGAUGACUCGGGGAUAGCCUUUCGAAAGAAAGAUUAAUACCCGAUGGCAUAGUUCUUCCGCAUGGUAGAACUAUUAAAGAAUUUCGGUCAUCGAUGGGGAUGCGUUCCAUUAGGUUGUUGGCGGGGUAACGGCCCACCAAGCCUUCGAUGGAUAGGGGUUCUGAGAGGAAGGUCCCCCACAUUGGAACUGAGACACGGUCCAAACUCCUACGGGAGGCAGCAGUGAGGAAUAUUGGUCAAUGGACGAGAGUCUGAACCAGCCAAGUAGCGUGAAGGAUGACUGCCCUAUGGGUUGUAAACUUCUUUUAUACGGGAAUAAGGUGAGGCACGUGUGCCUUUUUGUAUGUACCGUAUGAAUAAGGAUCGGCUAACUCCGUG
rnacentral:rRNA from 1 species